AGGGUUCUCCAAAACCCUAAAUUUCACAACUAAAAUCUGCAAAUUGAAGCCUCAAUCUCGUUCCAAAUCAAGUUCUAAACACGAAUUAGCAAACCCCUUGUUGUAAGGAUCAAAGAGGCAAAGAGUCCGGUUCAUCUAGCGGACAAGCCGAGGGGAAUUCACGAGGAAAGGGCGCGCUCUAAAGGCAAAGAGUCCGGUUCAUCUAGCGGACAAGCCGAGGGGAAUUCACGAGGAAAGGGCGCGCUCUAAAGG